CGAGUCGGCCGGGCGGUCGCGUCGGCACCCACCGGGUGCCGCCGAGGAACGUCCGGACUCCGCAGAGCAGGGUGGUUGCUAACGGCAACCCGGGGUGACCCGCGGGAAAGUGCCACAGAAAACAGACCGCCGGCGACAAGCCGGUAAGGGUGAAACGGUGGGGUAAGAGCCCACCAGCACCCCGGGUGACCGGGGUGGCUCGGUAAACCCCACCCGGAGCAAGGCCAAGAAAGGCCCGGACCGCAAGGCCCGGGCCGGCGCAGGCGUUCGAGGGCUGCUCGCCCGAGCCUGCGGGUAGGCCGCAAGAGCCUGCCGGCAACGGCAGGCCGAGAUGGAUGACCGCCCAGCGGCGAGCGUUCGCCGCGGACAAAAUCCGGCGUACAGGCCGACUCGUCCG
rnacentral:RNase_P_RNA from 2 species